AGAGUUUGAUCCUGGCUCAGGAUGAACGCUAGCUACAGGCUUAACACAUGCAAGUCGAGGGGAAACGACAUCGAAAGCUUGCUUUUGAUGGGCGUCGACCGGCGCACGGGUGAGUAACGCGUAUCCAACCUGCCCAUCACUUGGGGAUAACCUUGCGAAAGUAAGACUAAUACCCGAUGAUAUCUCUAGACGACAUCUGAAAGGGAUUAAAGAUUUAUCGGUGAUGGAUGGGGAUGCGUCUGAUUAGCUUGUUGGCGGGGUAACGGCCCACCAAGGCAACGAUCAGUAGGGGUUCUGAGAGGAAGGUCCCCCACACUGGAACUGAGACACGGUCCAAACUCCUACGGGAGGCAGCAGUGAGGAAUAUUGGUCAAUGGGCGAGAGCCUGAACCAGCCAAGUAGCGUGCAGGACGACGGCCCUAUGGGUUGUAAACUGCUUUUAUAAGGGAAUAAAGUGAGUCUCGUGAGACUUUUUGCAUGUACCUUAUGAAUAAGGACCGGCUAAUUCCGUGCCAGCAGCCGCGGUAAUACGGAAGGUCCGGGCGUUAUCCGGAUUUAUUGGGUUUAAAGGGAGCGUAGGCCGGAGAUUAAGCGUGUUGUGAAAUGUAGGCGCUCAACGUCUGCACUGCAGCGCGAACUGGUUUCCUUGAGUACGCACAAAGUGGGCGGAAUUCGUGGUGUAGCGGUGAAAUGCUUAGAUAUCACGAAGAACUCCGAUUGCGAAGGCAGCUCACUGGAGCGCAACUGACGCUGAAGCUCGAAAGUGCGGGUAUCGAACAGGAUUAGAUACCCUGGUAGUCCGCACGGUAAACGAUGGAUGCCCGCUGUUGGCCUGAAUAGGUCAGCGGCCAAGCGAAAGCAUUAAGCAUCCCACCUGGGGAGUACGCCGGCAACGGUGAAACUCAAAGGAAUUGACGGGGACCCGCACAAGCGGUGGAGCAUGUGGCUUAAUUCGAAGCAACGCGAAGAACCUUACCAAGUCUUGACAUCCGCCUGACCGAUCCUUAACCGGAUCUUUCCUUCGGGACAGGCGAGACAGGUGGUGCAUGGUUGUCGUCAGCUCGUGUCGUGAGAUGUUGGGUUAAGUCCCGCAACGAGCGCAACCCCUAUCCUCAGUAGCCAGCAUUUAAGGUGGGCACUCUGGGGAGACUGCCAGGGAUAACCUGGAGGAAGGCGGGGAUGACGUCAAAUCAUCAUGCCCCUUAUGAUUUGGGCUACACACGUGCUACAAUGGCGUAAACAAAGGGAAGCGAGAUCGUGAGAUGGAGCAAAUCCCAAAAAUAACGUCCCAGUUCGGACUGUAGUCUGCAACCCGACUACACGAAGCUGGAAUCGCUAGUAAUCGCGGAUCAGAAUGCCGCGGUGAAUACGUUCCCGGGUCUUGUACACACCGCCCGUCACACCAUGGGAGUCAGUAACGCCCGAAGUCAGUGACCUAACCGAAAGGGAGGAGCUGCC
rnacentral:rRNA from 1 species